rnacentral:rRNA from 1 species
GACGAACGCUGGCGGCGUGCUUAACACAUGCAAGUCGUACGGUAAGGCCCUUUCGGGGGUACACGAGUGGCGAACGGGUGAGUAACACGUGAGUAACCUGCCCACAACUUUGGGAUAACGCUAGGAAACUGGUGCCAAUACUGGAUAUGUGCUCCUGCUGCUUGGUGGGGGUUGGAAAGCUCCGGCGGUUGUGGAUGGACUCGCGGCAUAUCAGCUUGUUGGUGGGGUAGUGGCCUACCAAGGCGGCGACGGGUAGCCGGCCUGAGGGGGUGACCGGCCACAUUGAGACUGAGAGACGGCCCAGACUCCUGCGGGAGGCAGCAGUGGGGAAUAGUGCACGAUGGGCGCAAGCCGGAUGCAGCGACGCCGCGUGCGGGAUAACGGCCUUCGGGUUGUAAACCGCUUUCAGCAGGAACGAAGCUUUUUGUGACGGUACCUGCAGAAGAAGCACCGGCUAACUACGUG